GGACUACCCGGGUAUCUAAUCCUGUUUGCUCCCCUAGCUUUCGUCCCUCAGCGUCAGUUGCGAUCCAGCGAGCCGCUUUCGCCUCGGAUGUUCCUGCAGAUAUCUACGCAUUUCACCGCUACACCUGCAAUUCCACUCGCCUCUCUCGCACUCCAGCACAGCAGUUUCGGGAGCAGCCUCCGGGUUAAGCCCGGAGAUUCCACUUCCGACUUGCUGCACCGCCUACGGACCCUUUACGCCCAGUAAUUCCGAGCAACGCUGGCCCCCUACGUUUUACCGCGGCGGCUGGCAC
rnacentral:rRNA from 1 species